rnacentral:rRNA from 2 species
UGCGCAGGCGGUUAUGCAAGACAGAUGUGAAAUCCCCGGGCUCAACCUGGGAACUGCAUUUGUGACUGCAUGGCUAGAGUACGGUAGAGGGGGAUGGAAUUCCGCGUGUAGCAGUGAAAUGCGUAGAUAUGCGGAGGAACACCGAUGGCGAAGGCAAUCCCCUGGACCUGUACUGACGCUCAUGCACGAAAGCGUGGGGAGCAAACAGGAUUAGAUACCCUGGUAGUCCACGCCCUAAACGAUGUCAACUGGUUGUUGGGAGGGUUUCUUCUCAGUAACGUAGCUAACGCGUGAAGUUGACCGCCUGGGGAGUACGGCCGCAAGGUUGAA